UCCCCGGUAGCUCAGCUGGUAGAGCAACGGACUGUUAAUCCGUGGGUCGCAGGUUCGAGUCCUGCCCGGGGAG
rnacentral:tRNA from 1 species